GCGCAGUGAUGAUCAGAGAAUGGUUUCGCAAACAUCUGAAAUGCCGUGACAGAGCAUCUCUCUUGGCUGUCUGAGCGC
rnacentral:snoRNA from 1 species